rnacentral:rRNA from 1 species
CCUACGGGAGGCAGCAGUGAGGAAUAUUGGUCAAUGGACGAGAGUCUGAACCAGCCAAGUCGCGUGAAGGAUGACUGCUCUAUGGGUUGUAAACUUCUUUUAUAUGGGAAUAAAAUGUUCAACGUGUGGCAUUUUGUAUGUACCAUAUGAAUAAGCAUCGGCUAACUCCGUGCCAGCAGCCGCGGUAAUACGGAGGAUCCGAGCGUUAUCCGGAUUUAUUGGGUUUAAAGGGUGCGUAGGUGGUUUAUUAAGUCAGUUGUGAAAGUUUGCGGCUCAACCGUAAAAUUGCAGUUGAAACUGGCAGUCUUGAGUACAGUAGAGGUAGGCGGAAUUCGUGGUGUAGCGGUGAAAUGCUUAGAUAUCACGAAGAACUCCGAUUGCGAAGGCAGUUCACUAAACUACAACUGACACUGAAGCUCGAAAGUGUGGGGAUCAAACAGGAUUAGAUACCCUGGUAGUC